rnacentral:rRNA from 1 species
UGCUCAGUGACAAUAGCUGUGUGGCACCACCCGAUCCCAUCCCGAACUCGGAAGUGAAACGCACACGCGCCGAUGGUAGUGUGGCUUAAGCCAUGCAAGAGUAGGUCAUCGCUGAGCAUUUA